rnacentral:rRNA from 1 species
UACGUAGGGUGCGAGCGUUAAUCGGAAUUACUGGGCGUAAAGCGUGCGCAGGCGGUUUUGUAAGCCAGAUGUGAAAGCCCCGGGCUCAACCUGGGAAUGGCAUUUGGGACUGCAAGGCUUGAGUGCGGCAGAGGAGACUGGAAUUCCUGGUGUAGCAGUGAAAUGCGUAGAUAUCAGGAGGAAUACCGAUGGCGAAGGCAGGUCUCUGGGCUGACACUGACGCUCAUGGCACGAAAGCGUGGGGAGCAAACAGG